rnacentral:snoRNA from 1 species
AGACAACACUAUGAUGAUUACCAGAAAUCAAUGCAUAGUUCAACUGAGCUCUACUAGGCUAUGUUGAGAAAACAACCAUCAUGUCUUUCACCCCUAUCUGAUAUUGUUU